CUUCACCCCAUUGGCUCCUCAGCCAAGCACAUACAUCAAAUGUCUAUACCUGCGGUUCCUCUCGUACUGAGCAGGAUUACUAUUAUGACAACACAAUCUUCAGUAGGGUAAAACUAACCUGUCUCGCGACGGACUAAACCAAGCUCACGUUCCCUAUUAGUGGGUGAACAAUCCAACGCUUGGUGGAUUCUGCUUCACAAUGAUAGGAAGAGCCGACAUCGAAG